CCUACGGGAGGCAGCAGUGAGGAAUAUUGGUCAAUGGGCGAGAGCCUGAACCAGCCAUCCCGCGUGCAGGAUGACGGCCCUACGGGUUGUAAACUGCUUUUAUGUACCAAGAAUAGGCGCUACGUGUAGCGUUAUGACGGUAGUACAUGAAUAAGCAUCGGCUAACUCCGUGCCAGCAGCCGCGGUAAUACGGAGGAUGCAAGCGUUAUCCGGAUUCAUUGGGUUUAAAGGGUGCGUAGGCGGUCUUAUAAGUCAGUGGUGAAAUACUGCAGCUCAACUGUAGAACUGCCAUUGAAACUGUGAGACUUGAGUGCGCCUGAGGUAGGCGGAAUGAGUAGUGUAGCGGUGAAAUGCUUAGAUAUUACUCAGAACACCGAUUGCGAAGGCAGCUUACUAAAGCGUAACUGACGCUGAUGCACGAAAGCGUGGGGAGCGAACAGGAUUAGAUACCCUGGUAGUCCACUCAUGACGAUGAUAACUCGCUGUUGGCGAUACACAGUCAGCGGCUAAGCGAAAGCAUUAAGU
rnacentral:rRNA from 1 species